UUGGAUGUUCCUCUCGCAUUAAAAAAAAAAUCACAUAUUAAUAGCAUUGUAAGAUAUCAUGGCAUUUGAACUCUACUUAACUGAGGCGCGUUGGGAAAUCAAGGCCGCCGUCGUCAAGCUAAAGCGUGCUUGGGCAAGAAUACUAAAAGGCAAUGGCGGUGGCGGUGAUGGAGAGAAUAUAGCUGGAGAUGGCAACUGUGGCGAUAACGGCGGAGGUGGAGGGCAUCACAACAUCGGAGGUCAUCAUGAUGGUGGUGGAGGGCAUCACGGCGGCGGGGAUCACGGUGGUGGCGGUGGAUUUUGACG
rnacentral:lncRNA from 1 species